CCGUUAUUAAACCCCUGUUGUUGAACGAAUUCUUCCUUGAGCCCCCUUUGAAACGAUGGGGAUCCUCAGCGGCCACUUGAUGACCGGAGAACUCAUCGGCCGCUGUUCUCCUCCUCGCCUUCCUCCAAGCCCUGGACAUCCCUUCGAGGAUGGCCUCCGGGGUGGAGGACAUGACGUGGAAACCCCUUAGAGAAGAAUCGAGGGGCUGAAGAUGGCAAGGACCGGUGCGGAGGAAGUGGCUGAGUAGCUAGGCUCUCAGACGAAAGAAAGGUGCCGUCCUCUCGGCAGGAUGAAGCCCCGAAGGAAGAGUAGGGGGUUUAAAUAGCCAACGGAUCUUAGCGCAGUUA
rnacentral:lncRNA from 1 species